rnacentral:rRNA from 1 species
CAGCAGCCGCGGGAAUACGAAGGGGGCUAGCGUUGCUCGGAAUGACUGGGCGUAAAGGGCGCGUAGGCGGUCACGAUAGUCAGAUGUGAAAUUCCUGGGCUUAACCUGGGGACUGCAUUUGAUACUGUGUGGCUUGAGUGUGGAAGAGGGUCGUGGAAUUCCCAGUGUAGAGGUGAAAUUCGUAGAUAUUGGGAAGAACACCGGUGGCGAAGGCGGCGACCUGGUCCAUAACUGACGCUGAGGCGCGAAAGCGUGGGGAGCAAACAGGAUUAGAUACCCCAGUAGUCCCUGUCUCUUAUAC